rnacentral:lncRNA from 1 species
CUUUCCUUUAACAAUGAGAUAAGAGCAAGACUACUUCAAUUUGUCACAGGGACUUCUCGUGUUCCCAUGAAUGGCUUCAAGGAAUUGUAUGGCAGCAAUGGUCCUCAAUUGUUCACUAUCGAGAAGUGGGGAAAUACUGACAACUUGCCUCGUUCCCACACAUGCUUCAACCGAUUAGACCUUCCUCCCUAUGAGAGCUACCACGAUCUUCGUGAUAAGAUGAUGCAGGCUAUAGAAGGAUCUAACACUUUUGGAGGUGUGGAUUAACUUGAAAAGAAAUUUCUUUUCUGUGAGACUUUGAGUGUAUUGGAUUAGAUUCAUGGAUGAUGUUCUUUGUGGAAUAUUGUAUUCUUUAUAAAUAUAUAAAAGUGUAACUCAUUUUUUUCUUUGAUAUACUCUUAGUAAUGCUAGUUGAACAACAUAACACAGUUUUAAUUCUUCCUCCAGACUAAGUCUGAUUUGUGAUGCUAAUUGCCUUGAGAAACCACUCAGUUUUUAUGUUAAAUAUCUGUGAAAAUCAACAGUUUGUAUUUCAGGAUGAAUGUUUAGUAACUUUCUAGAGACACUAUAUAAUACAGUGUUAUUUAUUAUUUGGAAUUAUUGUGAAAAAGUAUUUUUACUGUUAGAACUUUUAAGUUAGAUGAUAACUAUACUAGUGUAAAUAUAUUUUGUAAGUUAACACUGUUACAUUUCUGGGAAAGGUGUUUAUGCUCGUAGUUUCUGGUAUCUAGGUAUGGAUGCUGUAUUACUUAAAAUAAAGUGAAUUCUUUUUUUAAUAUGAAAAGUAUUCUUAAUUUGUUACUAAUAGAUAUAUAACUGGCAGUGUUAGGUUGAUUUUGGUUACAAUAUACCAAGUAUAAGUUGUACCAACAUGAUCCUCUUGUUUAAGGUAUAAACACUACGGUACUAAUAACCUGAACCAUAUAUAUACAGCAUUUCAGAGGAUCGUGUCUUUCAUCGUCCAGCCCAACUGACAAGUUCAGGUAUUGAAUGAAAGGCUUUGUGGGCAAUGACUUAUGGCAGACAAAAGAUAGGUCUGAAAUGCUAUCUUUAUAUGCUUCCGAUUUUGUAUCCGAUAUAGUCAACUUAAGAGAAACGUCAAAAACAUCUGCCCCUUAUGUGUUUUUUAUCACCAGUUUUAGGCCUAUUGGUUUCCUAGUGCUUCACUGGUUUUUUGGAGUUUUAAAUCAUGGUAUCUUACAUGACAUGAAAAACACUAGUAACCUGAAUCAAAAUUAAUUUGCAGAGUUUAGUACAGUACUAGUGAGAAAAAACAAAACUAAUACCUUAUAAUUGAUGUCUACUGUAUAUCACUAUUUUGUCCUGUACUUCACCUUAUAGUUAGUGUCAAGGGUGUCCAUUCAGGGGUGACAAAAUAUAUAUAUUUUUGCCCCACUAAUAUUUUAUUAUACACCAAGUUUAAUUCUCUUUCAAUGUUUACAAAUUUUAGUAAUUAAUUGUGGAUCUGUGCUUUUUGUGUGUGUGUGUGUGUGAUGAAGAAAAAUACAUUGUUAUAAACAGUUAUUUCUUAUUUGCCACCCCAAUAUAUUUCUUGAAUUGAUACUUCUGGUUAGUGCAAUAGAAAUGUAGAAGACAGUUUUUAUAAAGAAAUGUAUUUAUAAAAAAAUUUUCACCAGUUAGUAUUUUAUUCCCGUGUUCCGCAUGUGGGCCAAAGCUGUAACUUUUAUAAUUGGAGUGAUCAUAAAAGAAUCAACUGAGUUUUUUUUUCUAGCCAUACAGUUUUUCAAUUUUAUCUUGAAGAAGAAGAUUGUUAAUGAUUUCACAAUCAGUUGUUAGUAAACUCUUGAAGUUAUUGUCAUGGAAACCACAUUAGCUUUGUGUAUAUACCUUGAGUCUUCGCAGUCUGUAGACUUGUUAUAGUUGUUGAUGAGUUAAAAAUAUAAUAUUUUGAUUGUUUUAAAUUGGUUUUGUACUUAACUGGUUUUGUUACUGCAGUGAAAAUGUUUAUAUAGACUAGAAAUUCAUGGACAGACAUUGAAAACUAUUGUAUCUGAAAGCCGUGGAAAGACUUUUUUUAUCUUCUCUGUGGUAUAAAAUGAGAUUAAUAAUGUAUAUAACUAGCUUUAUUAGAGAAGAGUUUUUGAAUUAUGUAUGCUUUGAAAUUGUAAUUUUUAUGGUUGAACUAACUUUUUAUAGGCUGCUACGAAACAGUUAAGUUGUAUAAGUGAUAAAAACAAAACAGUUUGAAACUAUUUUCAUAAGUAACUAUGAAAUUUAAGGAAAGUCUGCAUAUUGGUAUGCAAAUUUAUGUGAAUUCAAAGUAACCAUAGUUGUAUCUGUUAAAACCUUGAGAGAGCUAUGUAGAUUAGGUUAAUUAUCAUUAUCAAAAAAUGUUUCUUAGUGCUGAUAAUCACAUUUGUACAGUACCACUUCUGUUGCUCAGAGUGCUGUCUCUGUAGGCCUAUAGUGCCUUAUUUCUGUGCUUUUUUACCUGAUAUUAUGGUAGCUUUGGUUGUGUUUUAGACUAUUGUUUGUAAAGUUUCAGUAUGUAAUUCUCUAGUAGGUUCUACUCAUCCCGGGUCUGCUGAGAAAUAUGGAAUUGAAUUUUUUGAUUCUUUAGAGAAUGUUUUCAACGAGCUUAUAGAAAGGCUUUAAUUAUAAUUGAACAUUCCUGUGAACAAUUUUUUUUUUUUUGGCAUGCCGUUAAAAAGGAUUAGUUACAUUUCAUCAUAUAAUCGGUUACUUUCAAGCCCCAAGAUAAGGUUGAUGUUAAUCCUACAUUUUUAUCACAUGCUCUCUUAACAUAAACCAUGACUGGGAUGAUGUUAUUGUAGCCUUGACUCGUCAAACCAAGACUAUUGCUGAUUUUUACUGUUUGAUACAUGCAUCCGUAUUAAGUUUGAUGUGAUCGUUGUUUUAAAGUAGAACGACCCAUAAUGGAUAGCAUUUCUCUUGAUUGAACUUUAAAGUAGGAAUAAUGACACUAUAUUCCAUGAGUAAUGAUGUGAAUAGACGUUUUGUAGAUGUGCUUUUAGUUGAUAGGAUGUUUUGGGCAACCAUCAUUCUUCGUGUCCAGAGGAAGAUAGGUACAGUACUAUCAAUUAAAAGUAUUUCUGGAAAAAUGUAUUUUUGAUCUUAUUACCUGUUGCAUAAAAACAAACACGUUUCAAACUAUCUUGUGAAGUUUGUUUUUAAAGAACUAUUCUACUUAACAAAAGAAAAGCAAGGAUUAUUAUAUUACAUCCUUUGUAAACUUGAUAGUAAUACUACGUUGUUUUCAUUCUCGCUACUUUUCUAAACAGUAACACCUUUACGUUUUUACACCUAAGACUGACAUCCUCCAGUUUAGUCCUUCAUAAAUAAGGUAAUGAAAGCCUGAACCGAUGCUCUUUUAAAAAAUUCCAUCAGUAAAGAAGUGUUUAAGAGAACUUAGAUUUUUUUAAACAUAAAAUUGUUUAUACAGUUGGCUAAUCUUUAGCUUCAACGUGUUUGUUUGAACUUUUAACUAUUUGGUAUUACAGUUUCUUAAAUGGUCUUUUAGUUAAUGUUGGUUUAAAAGUUUUAUUUGUACACUCGGAACUGUUUGGAAGCUUUUCUUUCUUCUCAUAUUGUGGAUACAAGAUGUAAUUUUGUGGUUAAGUUAAAUAUAAAGUAAUAUGAUCUUUUCAUGAAAUACACCGAUUUUUAGAAUUUUGUAAAUAUUAACUUUACAGAAUAAAAAAAAUCUUUAUUAACUAAA